rnacentral:tRNA from 1 species
GGGGAUGUGGUCUAGUGGUAUGGCGUUCCCUUCGCAUUCUACGAAUAUUGAUUGGGAAAGGUCCGGGGUUCAAUUCCCCGCUUCUCCA